AGAGUUUGAUCCUGGCUCAGGACGAACGCUGGCGGCGUGCCUAAUACAUGCAAGUAGAACGCUGAAGAGAGGAGCUUGCUCUUCUUGGAUGAGUUGCGAACGGGUGAGUAACGCGUAGGUAACCUGCCUUGUAGCGGGGGAUAACUAUUGGAAACGAUAGCUAAUACCGCAUAACAAUGGAUGACCCAUGUCAUUUAUUUGAAAGGGGCAAAUGCUCCACUACAAGAUGGACCUGCGUUGUAUUAGCUAGUAGGUGAGGUAACGGCUCACCUAGGCGACGAUACAUAGCCGACCUGAGAGGGUGAUCGGCCACACUGGGACUGAGACACGGCCCAGACUCCUACGGGAGGCAGCAGUAGGGAAUCUUCGGCAAUGGGGGCAACCCUGACCGAGCAACGCCGCGUGAGUGAAGAAGGUUUUCGGAUCGUAAAGCUCUGUUGUAAGUCAAGAACGAGUGUGAGAGUGGAAAGUUCACACUGUGACGGUAGCUUACCAGAAAGGGACGGCUAACUACGUGCCAGCAGCCGCGGUAAUACGUAGGUCCCGAGCGUUGUCCGGAUUUAUUGGGCGUAAAGCGAGCGCAGGCGGUUUGAUAAGUCUGAAGUUAAAGGCUGUGGCUCAACCAUAGUUCGCUUUGGAAACUGUCAAACUUGAGUGCAGAAGGGGAGAGUGGAAUUCCAUGUGUAGCGGUGAAAUGCGUAGAUAUAUGGAGGAACACCGGUGGCGAAAGCGGCUCUCUGGUCUGUAACUGACGCUGAGGCUCGAAAGCGUGGGGAGCGAACAGGAUUAGAUACCCUGGUAGUCCACGCCGUAAACGAUGAGUGCUAGGUGUUGGAUCCUUUCCGGGAUUCAGUGCCGCAGCUAACGCAUUAAGCACUCCGCCUGGGGAGUACGACCGCAAGGUUGAAACUCAAAGGAAUUGACGGGGGCCCGCACAAGCGGUGGAGCAUGUGGUUUAAUUCGAAGCAACGCGAAGAACCUUACCAGGUCUUGACAUCCCGAUGCUAUUUCUAGAGAUAGAAAGUUACUUCGGUACAUCGGUGACAGGUGGUGCAUGGUUGUCGUCAGCUCGUGUCGUGAGAUGUUGGGUUAAGUCCCGCAGCGAGCGCAACCCCUAUUGUUAGUUGCCAUCAUUCAGUUGGGCACUCUAGCGAGACUGCCGGUAAUAAACCGGAGGAAGGUGGGGAUGACGUCAAAUCAUCAUGCCCCUUAUGACCUGGGCUACACACGUGCUACAAUGGUUGGUACAACGAGUUGCGAGUCGGUGACGGCAAGCUAAUCUCUUAAAGCCAAUCUCAGUUCGGAUUGUAGGCUGCAACUCGCCUACAUGAAGUCGGAAUCGCUAGUAAUCGCGGAUCAGCACGCCGCGGUGAAUACGUUCCCGGGCCUUGUACACACCGCCCGUCACACCACGAGAGUUUGUAACACCCGAAGUCGGUGAGGUAACCUUUUGGAGCCAGCCGCCUAAGGUGGGAUAGAUGAUUGGGGUGAAGUCGUAACAAGGUA
rnacentral:rRNA from 1 species